CUCCCUCUUUGGCCGGUCAAAGUAAGUGUCCCUCUACACUUUUCUUUUGUUCAUUUUUCCUCACAAACAUAACAAGAACUCCUCCCUCACUCUCUCCCACCGUGUACCUCCUUCCCCACCAUCUCCACCAUUUUUUCCAGCAUGAUCACCGCAAAGCUCUCUAGGAACCUCGAAGGCAUAUUCAUCUUUUUUGAUUUAAGGUUCUAAAGUACUUGGUGAUGGAACUAGUAACUUGAUUGGUUGAAUGCGGUGCCCGGUUGAGGUAAAUUUGGAAUGGACUGCUAAGUUUUUCAGAUAAAUUAGCUACACGUCGGGCAUGGAGCUUAAUUUAUUGGUGGUGAUUGGAGUGCUAUAUUAAAUUGGGAGACUUGGGCCAUUAAUAGUUGAUGACUCAAUCUUGCAAAGUUCAACGAGAUCAUAAUCAAUUCUAUUGGAGGUUGGAUACUUGACGUUUGUUAGCCUUGGGUGUAGUAGGCCUAGAUUUUCUAUUGAGGUUGCAUACCUUAGAGAGGAUCAUGGCUUUGUGUUUAUUUUAUUUGGAACGUUGGAUUGUUAAGUGUAUUUGGAGACACAUGAUUUGUAGUUUGUAUUGCUUGUAAAUGUGUCAUGGAGCUCUAACUUGUAUUGUGGAGAGAUCAAUAAAUUUAUUUAUUUUAUCAAAUGGAAAAAAAAAAAAAAAAUCACUACAAUACC